UACGAAGGGGGCUAGCGUUGCUCGGAAUUACUGGGCGUAAAGCGCACGUAGGCGGAUUGUUAAGUCGGGUGUGAAACCCUCAGGCUCAACCUGGGGACGCCACUCGAUACUGCUGUGGCUAGAGUCCAGUAGAGGAGUGUGGAAUUCCCGGUGUAGCGGUGAAAUGCGCAGAUAUCGGGAGGAACACCAGCGGCGAAGGCGGCGCUCUGGGCUGGAACUGACGCUCAUGCACGAAAGCGUGGGGAGCAAACAGG
rnacentral:rRNA from 1 species